rnacentral:rRNA from 1 species
GAUGAACGCUGGCGGCGUGCCUAAUACAUGCAAGUCGAGCGAACAGACGAGGAGCUUGCUCCUCUGACGUUAGCGGCGGACGGGUGAGUAACACGUGGAUAACCUACCUAUAAGACUGGGAUAACUUCGGGAAACCGGAGCUAAUACCGGAUAAUAUAUUGAACCGCAUGGUUCAUUAGUGAAAGAGGUUUUUGCUGUCCCUUAUAGAUGGAUCCGCGCCGCAUUAGCUAGUUGGUAAGGUAACGGCUUACCAAGGCGACGAUGCGUAGCCGACCUGAGAGGAUGAUCGGCCACACUGGAACUGAGACACGGUCCAGACUCCUACGGGAGGCAGCAGUAGGGAAUCUUCCGCAAUGGGCGAAAGCCUGACGGAGCAACGCCGCGUGAGUGAUGAAGGUCUUCGGAUCGUAAAACUCUGUUAUUAGGGAAGAACAAAGGUGUAAGUAACUAUGCACGUCUUGACGGUACCUAAUCAGAAAGCCACGGCUAACUACGUG